AAUCUACAACCAUUGUGGCUAACAGUUGUAUCUGGAAAUUAUAAGCCAUUUUAACUAACUGAAGUUUUGCGUUGAGUUCAGGCGAAAACUCAGUUACACCAGCAAUAGCGACAAAGGCAAUGCCCAAAAGGCCAUAGUACAUUCCUUUAUUUUCACUUAAAGCUUCACGGAAAGGACGGCCCUGAUAAUUGAUAGCAAACGUUGAGACUUGUUGAAUAAGUUGAAGCAAAUAAAUGGCAGUAUUCAACAAAGAAGGCUUGAAGGUUUCUUCUAAAUCCACCUUUUCUAAAGGAUCCUCAUACAGAUAAACGACACGAGUUAUAUAGAUAAGGGUAACGAUAUGAAUAGCAAACU